rnacentral:rRNA from 1 species
CCUGAUGACCAUAGCGAGGUGGAACCACUCCUUCCCAUCCCGAACAGGACAGUGAAACGCUUCUGCGCCAAUGAUAGUGCGGGUUCCCGUGUGAAAGUAGGACAUUGUCAGGC